rnacentral:lncRNA from 1 species
UUUUUAAUUUGUUUGGGGUAGUUAGUGAUUGUGCUUCCAGGUAACAUUUAUCCCAUGCCUCUUAGCUAUAUAUGUCUCAUACUCGAAUAGGGAAGGGAAUGAAAGGGUUGAUGUUAGUAUGACAUUGUCGAUAUGGAAGUUUAGGAAUUUUCACAUAUUUUGUGCAAAGUCCCUCAAAGAGGUGGAGGUGUUCGAUACUACUAUCAAGAAUCUGUAUUGGAAUUGAUUUUUAGGAAAAUAGAGGAUUUUCUUUGUCUCUUUUAUGAAUGGUUUGAUUACCCUUUAGAUAUUUCAAGAUAGAUUUGUUUGUUUUGUUUCCAUCUGUCACACUAAUUUUUGGGGUCGGGUGAAUAUUACUUGUACUUUAUCGCGUUGAAUGGAUUUAAUACCACUUGUGCGUU